rnacentral:rRNA from 2 species
AUUGAACGCUAGCGGCAUGCCUAACACAUGCAAGUCGAACGGCAGCGGGGGGAGCUUGCUCCCUGACGGCGAGUGGCGGACGGGUGAGUAACACGUAGGAAUCUACCUCAUUAUAGUGGGGGAUAACCCGGGGAAACUCGGGCUAAUACCGCAUAAUCUCUUCAAAGCAAAGCGGGGGAUCUUCGGACCUCGUGCUAUGAGAUGAGCCUGCGUCGGAUUAGCUAGUUGGUAGGGUAAUGGCCUACCAAGGCGACGAUCCGUAGCUGGUCUGAGAGGACGAUCAGCCACACUGGGACUGAGACACGGCCCAGACUCUACGGGAGGCAGCAGUGGGGAAUAUUGGACAAUGGGGGGAACCCUGAUCCAGCAAUGCCGCGUGUGUGAAGAAGGCUUCGGGUUGUAAAGCACUUUCAGUGGGGAAGAAAUUCUCAAGUCUAAUACCCUUGAGCGUUGACGUUACCCACAGAAGAAGCACUGGCUAACUCUGUGCCAGCAGCCGCGGUAAUACAGAGAGUGCAAGCGUUAAUCGGAAUCACUGGGCGUAAAGCGCGCGUAGGUGGAUAUUUAAGUCGGAUGUGAAGGCCCUAGGCUUAACCUGGGAAUUACAUCCGAUACUAGGUAUCUCGAGUAUGAUAGAGGGAAGUGGAAUUUCCGGUGUAGCGGUGAAAUGCGUAGAUAUCGGAAAGAACAUCAGUGGCGAAGGCGGCUUCCUGGAGCAAUACUGACACUGAGGCGCGAAAGCGUGGGGAGCAAACAGGAUUAGAGACCCUGGUAGUCCACGCUGUCAACGAUGAGAACUAGCUGUUGGAAAGUUUACUUUCUAGUAGCAAAGCUAACGCGUUAAGUUCUCCGCCUGGGGAGUACGGCCGCAAGGUUAAAACUCAAAGAAAUUGACGGGGGCCCGCACAAGCGGUGGAGCAUGUGGUUUAAUUCGAUGCAACGCGAAAAACCUUACCUACCCUUGACAUCCUCGGAACUUGUCAGAAAUGACUUGGUGCCUUUAGGAACCGAGUGACAGGUGCUGCAUGGCUGUCGUCAGCUCGUGUCGUGAGAUGUUGGGUUAAGUCCCGUAACGAGCGCAACCCUCGUCCUUAGUUGCCAGCGGUUCGGCCGGGAACUCUAAGGAGACUGCCGGUGAUAAACCGGAGGAAGGUGAGGAUGAUGUCAAGUCAUCAUGGCCCUUACGGGUAGGGCUACACACGUGCUACAAUGGGCAGUACAAAGGGUUGCUAAACCGUGAGGUAAGCUAAUCCCAAAAAGCUGCUCGUAGUCCGGAUUGGAGUCUGCAACUCGACUCCAUGAAGCUGGAAUCGCUAGUAAUCGCGAAUCAGAAUGUCGCGGUGAAUACGUUCUCGGGCCUUGUACACACCGCCCGUCACACCAUGGGAGUGAAUUGUACCAGAAGCGGGUAGGCUAACUUCGGUAAGCCGCUCACCACGGUAUGAUUUAUGACUGGGGUG